GACGAACGCUGGCGGCGUGCCUAAUACAUGCAAGUAGAACGCUGAAGGAAGGAGCUUGCUCUUUCUGGAUGAGUUGCGAACGGGUGAGUAACGCGUAGGUAACCUGCCUGGUAGCGGGGGAUAACUAUUGGAAACGAUAGCUAAUACCGCAUAAAAUUGAUUAUUGCAUGAUAGUCAAUUAAAAGGUGCAACUGCACCACUACCAGAUGGACCUGCGUUGUAUUAGCUAGUUGGUGGGGUAACGGCUCACCAAGGCGACGAUACAUAGCCGACCUGGAAGGGGGGACGGCCACACUGGGACUGAGACACGGCCCAGACUCCUACGGGAGGGAGCAGGAGGGAAACUUCGGCAAAGGACGGAAGGCUGACCGAGGAACGCCGCGGGAGGGAAGAAGGUUUUCGGAUCGUAAAGAUCUGUUGUAAGAGAAGAACGAGUGUGAGAGUGGAAAGUUCACACUGUGACGGUAUCUUACCAGAAAGAGACGGCUAACUACGUG
rnacentral:rRNA from 1 species